rnacentral:rRNA from 1 species
GAUGUACGCUGGCGGCGUGCCUAAUACAUGCGAGUCGAGCGAACAGACGAGGAGCUUGCUCCUCUGACGUUAGCGGCGGACGGGUGAGUAACACGUGGAUAACCUACCUAUAAGACUGGGAUAACUUCGGGAAACCGGAGCUAAUACCGGAUAAUAUAUUGAACCGCAUGGUUCAAUAGUGAAAGACGGUUUUGCUGUCACUUAUAGAUGGAUCCGCGCCGCAUUAGCUAGUUGGUAAGGUAACGGCUUACCAAGGCAACGAUGCGUAGCCGACCUGAGAGGGUGAUCGGCCACACUGGAACUGAGACACGGUCCAGACUCCUACGGGAGGCAGCAGUAGGGAAUCUUCCGCAAUGGGCGAAAGCUUGACGGAGCAACGCCGCGUGAGUGAUGAAGGUCUUCGGAUCGUAAAACUCUGUUAUUAGGGAAGAACAAAUGUGUAAGUAACUAUGCACGUCUUGACGGUACCUAAUCAGAAAGCCACGGCUAACUAC